UACGUAGGGUGCGAGCGUUAAUCGGAAUUAUUGGGCGUAAAGAGCUCGUAGGCGGUUUCGUAAGUCGGAUGUGAAAACUCCAGGCUCAACUUGGAGACGCCAUUCGAUACUGCGAUGACUUGAGUCCGGUAGGGGAGUGUGGAAUUCCUGGUGUAGCGGUGAAAUGCGCAGAUAUCAGGAGGAACACCGAUGGCGAAGGCAGGUCUCUGGGCCACUACUGACGCUGAGAAGCGAAAGCAUGGGGAGCGAACAGG
rnacentral:rRNA from 1 species